rnacentral:rRNA from 1 species
CCUUGUACACACCGCCCGUCACACCAUGGGAGUGGGGUGAACCAGAAGUAGGUAGGCUAACCGCAAGGGGCCGCUUACCACGGUCUGCUUCAUGACUGGGGUG